GUUAGAGUGCACUCGCGUUCGUUCCAGUCUCCAUGAGAACUUCACUUCGGCGGCAGAAACAGUCGUGUUUCAUCGUUAUUAUACUCAUUCUUCAAGUGAACAACGCUUCCCAGCUACUUGACUUGAUUUCGGAUUCACAUCUUUUUAGCGAAUACUGGAUCGCAUAGGAUACAUUCUAUUAUUUAAGGUGAGGAAUAAUGAAGCACUAAACAACAAACCCCCACUUACUAAAACACCGCACGAUUUUUUAAAUCCAGAACGGUCUUAAAUAAACAGAUGUAUCUAGUAAUUAUUCGUAAAAGUAUCUUCAGAAUCUCAGUAAUUAUGAAAUAAAGAAUUUAAAAUAUU